GAGAGAGUAACGCAAGAACUGCUAACUCUUUGCCCCAUAAAUAAUCAUAUGGCUCCCUCA
rnacentral:tRNA from 1 species